AGAGAGGUGCUCGAGUGGUUGAAGAGGCUACCCUGGAAAGGUAGUAUACGGGUGACCGUAUCGUGGGUUCGAAUCCCAUCCUCUCUG
rnacentral:tRNA from 1 species